GUUGAAAUUUGCCAGAUUCUGUCUUUUCCCUCUAGACUCCUGUGCAGAAGUUCAGACAACCCCUUCUGUACCCCUUUGGCCAGGGUAGCCUGUCCUCAUUGCGAUCUUGACUCAGGCCAGGCUUAGAGCACUCAUGUGGAUUCCCCUAUACCUGAGGAAGGUGCUUGGUCCAGUUGUGUUCCCGUCUGUUCUUCUUGAUUGUUGACUCAAAAGUCUAGAUAUUUUCCAGAAGGGUUUUGGUGGGGAAAGAGCUAUAGGGAAGGGCUGCAUGGUGUUCUUGGAGGCGAGGUGUCAAAUUUAACUUGGCAGAAUGUGCCAGACUGAACGUUUGUGUCUUCUCCUUCCCAAUACAGUGCUCACCUGAUGCUGGCAACACCCACCCCAAAGCCUCCUCUGCAUUCCUCCUCUGGCAGUGAAAUUUCCAUAAGCAAGUUGUUCCUCCUAAUAUAUAUCAACAAGAAGGAUUGUACCAGUUCUUCGUCUUCAUCCUCCUGUGCAUUCUUAACCAGAUGAUGACAUCUCCUAAAACUCAGUUUGGUGUACUUUUGAAUUGCAAAGGAGGACUGAGGUCUUCACAGUCUAGAGAGCGCCCCUAAGAUGAGCCAACCGUGACAGAAGCAGGAUGAGGUGCUUGCAUAGAAGAAGGACAAAGUGCUGUGAGAUUUUGAGGAGCAACAGCAUUUAACCAUGAUUAGAAAGUUGACAUGGAGGAGGUGUGGGGCUCCACCUGCAGGGAGAAACCUGUCUUCCAGGUCAGCUGGCGGCCACCUGGAUGAGGACUCUGUACUGGGCAUGAGCUCAGCAUGACCUGGAGCCUUUAAUCUGGGCAGCAAUAACUACAAAAGGCAUUCACCCAACCUCCUCAGGUGCAGCAUUUAAACUGAGGUGGGGAUGGGCUCCCUGAAAGUGUGGAGAGGUGGAUACGGGAAGCAGAUGUGAGAGGCCACCUAGUGUGGGAUUCCUGUCUAUAAAAUGUCCAGAGGAGGUAAAUCCAGAGAGAGAGAAAACAGAUUGAGGUGGUGGUUUGACAACACUGAAUUUCCUAAAUGUCAUUGAGUUGUUCACUUUAAAAUGGUUAAUUAUAUUAUUAUCAUUAUUAUUAUUUUUACCUCAUUUGGUUAAAAAGAAAAAUAAAAAAGAAAAAUAAAAGGAAAUAAUUUUUAAAAGGAAAAGAAAAUUGAAAAAAAAAGAAAAAAAAAUAAGAAAAUGGAGGGAGGCGGCAAGAUGGCAGAAGAGUAAGAGGACAUGGCUCACCCUGUCCCAGAAACACAUAAAAAAAACCACAUCUACAUGUAAAACAACUCACACAGGACAUCAACUGCAUGCUGGCAGAAGAACUUAAACCUCCAAAAAGCGCUAGAAACUCUUGACAUAACUGGGUAGAACAAAAGGAAAAAAAGAGAGAGAGAAAAGGAAUUAGGACGCGACAAGCAUUCCUGAGAGGGAUCUGUGAAGGAGAAAGGCAACCCACACCCUCGGAAGCCACCUAACCUAUGGAAAGAUCAGUGGAGUCGGAGCGAUCUCCAAGACACCGAGGAAAGUGCAGCAGCAAGUCUGAGAACUGAAAAAUAGAGUGAGAGAAGCACAGAUCUAACCACUGGCACAGGCACCACAACCUGAGAAGCUUGGGUGGGGGCUGGGCGUUCAGACCUAGACUCCAGAGGUCAGUCCCUGAGAGCAGGCUGGCAUUGGUGGGGUGGAGACAGCCUAAGAAUCUAGGGAGCCGUGCACCAUGGGCAGGGGAAGCGGUACCCUAAGGGCUGGGGAGUGGAAAGCCACAGCAGAGGGGGCCCGGGAGAAGGUCCAGACCCACAGGAGAGAUAAGGCGCCAUCGUUAGGGAGGGGAGAGGAGAUGGGACAGGCCACCACCACAGAAAACUCCUUAUGGCCCAGCUUAUGCAUGCUUGCCCCCCCCACCCGCCCCCAUCACAGAGGGCUGAGAGUGAGGUGCAGCACCCUGCCCAGUGGGAAGCGGAGAAGGUGCGCCCCCAACCUGCGAGAAGUCGGUGCCGCUUUGCAGUUCUCCAGACCCGACAGGACCCAGGAGAAGCUGGCAGAGACCCGGACCCGCCUCGCCCUGGGGAAAGCCCUGUGUGGCUCUGCAGAGCUCAGGGCCACAUCUCCGGCGCCCCGCAGAAAGCCGUGCACAACUUUGCAGCGCUCGGGGCCUUUCCUUGACCCGCGAGAAGCCCCGCGGCACUUUGCAGUGCGCUGGGCAUGCUCUGGCCCUGCUUCCACCUGUAAGAAGCCAAGAAGCUUUGCAGCGUUCAGGGACCACUGGGGGCGGGGCAGGGGAGGGGGGGCGUUUGCGGCUCUCCAUAGCUUCCAGCAACCUUGACGGGCGGGUCAGAAGCUGCGUGGUGCUUUGCAUUGCUCCAGGCCACCUUGCCCCACAAGAAGCCGUGCUACCCACCCUGGAUUGUGCCUCUCAGGCGCAACCCCUCUCUACCAGAAGUCACUUGCCAGCCCACCCUAGACCUGGUGUCUCCAGCAGUGGGAAGCCCCUUGCUAGCCCACAGUGGACGGGACCUGCAGGUGGUGGGAGCAAACCAUGGCAAGUAUCCCCGACUCCAGAAGUGGGCAUAGUCUACCACAGCUAGGGACAUCUGAACAAAAAACAUUUGCAGCCUCAACCAUUUCAGAAGGCAUCACAGAGAAGGACAUUACAACGGAGUACCACCUGAUGUUGUUCUUGCUCCCCUGGGAGCACACAAACACACUGCAGCUGCCACUGCCAAAAGUUCUGGGAGGGGCCCAAAUGCUUGAUCACUGGUCCCUCCCUAGGAACCUGCAACUAAGAGCACCUGGUUCAGCACAUCCUGUGGGGUCUAAGCAGGACCAGAUGCUUCUUACAUGAUUUACAGGUGGCAGGGACAAACCACCACAGUUAUCUCUAGCUCCAGAGGUGGCAGUGGCCCAACACCACUAGGAAUUGGUGAACAGGCAUCACUUGCAGCCCCAUUCACCCCAAGGGCAUCACAGAGGAAGGCAUUGUGACUGAAUCAACUAUUCUAUUGGUGCUUGUGCACCCUUGUGAUCACACUGGCCCUGCUGCCACCACUGAAUGUUCAGGACAGUACCCAUAUGUCAGAAAUCUGUCACUUCCCAGGAUCCUACAACUAGGAACAGCCUGUGGAGCACCUCUUAUGUAGGCUAAGUAAGACGAAUCACCUCAUACAUGGUCUACAGGUGGCAGAGGCAAACCACCGCAGUUAUCACAGAAGCUAGAGACGAUCAUGACCCACUCCCACUAGGGGUCCCUGCACAGGCACCACCUGUGGUUCCAAUCACCUCAAAGGAGGGCAUUGCAAUCAAACACAAGUCUUUAUUGCUCUCACCCCCUGGGAACUCACGCACCCUACUGCAGCUACAGCCAAAUGCUCUGGUCACCUUGCAGAUGCUUCUAGAGCUCAUUACCACUGCCCAGGGUCCUGCAAAUAGGAGUAACCUGUGCCUCCUUCCUGCAGGUCCCUGCUUCUGUUGAGAGCCCAAUGAACAGUCAACGAAUGCUGGCCCUACCCAUUGCCCCCUUCUCCCUGAAAACACGCUAAGCAUCCUGGGGAUAACACUGCUCACACCAAAGAAAGAGACAGCAAAGAUUCAACUUCCCACACCGAAAAAAAAAAAAAUAGUAACUCGCCCCCAAAAUUCAAAGGGGUAUUCUUGCAUAGAAAUAGACUUAUAAAACUACAGUUUGGCUUCCCCAAAUUCACAGGAAAAAAAAAAAAAAAGCAAGAAGAAGCUCAGAAACCAUCCCCAGUUAAUCCAACAGGAGAACUCACCUAAAGCAGUCAACAAUGAAACAGAGCUCUGCAGUCUGACAGACUUCGAGUUCAAAAGGGAAAUAGUGAAAAUACUGAAGGAAUUAAGAGAAGAUAUGACCAGUAAUGCAGACUUCCUCAGAAAGGAACUAGAAAAUAUAAGGAGGAGUCAAGAAAAACUAGAAAAUUCAUUUGCAGAGAUACAAACUGAGCUAAGGGCAAUAAAGACCAGGAUGAAUAAUGCAGAAGAAUGAAUGAGUGAGGUGGAAGAUAGAAUAAUGGAAAUCACCCAAAUAGGACAGCAGACACAAAACCAAAUGAAGAAACAUGAAAGCAAUAUAAGAGACCUAUGGGAUAAUAUAAAGCAGGCCAAUCUACCUAUAAUAGGAAUUCCAGAAGGAAAAGGGAAAGAAAAGGGGACUGAAAAUAUAUUUGAAGAAAUUAUAGCUGAAAGUUUUCCAAAUCUAAAGGAUACUGAUAUCAAGAUUCAGGAAGCACAGAGGACCCCAAACAAGUUGAACCCAAACAGGCCCACACCAAGACAUAUUAUAACAAAAAUGGCAAAAUUUAAAGAUAAAGAGAGGAUUCUAAAGGCAGCGAGAGAAAAGCAAAAGUGCUAAUUAUAAGGGAACCCCAAUAAGGCUACCAGCUGAUUUCUCUAUAGAAAUACUACAGGCCAGGAGAGAGUGGCAAGAUAUAUUUAAAGCACUUAAAGGAAAAAAUGUACAACCUAGAAUACUCUAUCCAGCAAGAAUAUCAUUUAAAAUAGAAGGGGAAAUAAACAAUUUCUCCAACAAACAAAAGCUGAAAGAGCACAGCAAUACAAAACCCAGUCUAAAAGAAAUACUAAAAGGGCUUCUCUAAAUUAAAAAAGAAAAACAGAAAAAGGAAAAUCUAGGAUGAAGGAAACCACAACUGGAAAGCAGUCACUUAAAUGAGCCAGCAUACUGAUCUAAACAAAGAUGUUAAAAGAAAAAGAAAAAAAAAAAAAAGACAUCAAAUUCAUACAAUUUGGGCAAGGGAAGUAAGACAAAUUAGAUUCUUUUCCUUUUUUUUUAAGGAUGUGUUUGAGCCUAUAUGAUUAUCACGCUAAAGGAAACAGAUAUAGGAAGGGUUUAACAUAUUUAAAAAACAGGGCAACCGCAAAUCAAAACUGAACAUUACAUUCACAAAAACUGAAAAGAAAAAUAUUCAAACAUAAAAUAAAUGGAAAUCAUCCAACCAAAAAAGAAAGAUAGAAAAGAGAAACAUAGAAUCAACUGGAAAACAAGGUUUAAAAUGGCAAUAAAUACAUAUCUAUCAAUAAUCACCUUAAAUGUCAAUGGAAUGAAUGCUCUAAUCAAAAGAUACAGAGUGGCAGAUUGGAUAAAAAAGCAAAAACCUUAAAUCUGCUGCAUACAAGAGACUCACCUUAGAGCAAAGGACACUUAAAGAUUGAAAGUGAGGGGAUGGGAAAAGAUGUUUCAUGACAAUGGACUAGACAGGAAAUCAGGAGUUACAGUGCUUAUAUCAGACAAAAUAGACUUUAAAACGAAGGCCAUAGAGAAAGACAAAGAAAGACACUAUUUAAUGGUUAAAGGAUCCAUUCAAGAAGAGGAUAUUACAAUCAACAAUAUAUAUGCCCCUAAUAUAGAAGCACACAGAUACCUACAACAAAUACUAACAGGCAUAAAAGGAGAAAUUGAUGGGAAUAUAAUCAUAGUAGGAGACUUUAACACCCCACUCACAUCAACGGACAGAUCCUCUAGGCAGAAAAUCGAUAAAGCAACAGAGGUUCUAAAGGAAACAAUAAAAAAGUUAGACUUAAUCGACAUUUUCAGGACAUUACAUCCAAAAAAUAUCAGAAUAUACAUUCUUCUCAAGUGCACAUGGAACAUUCUCAAGAAUUGAUCACAUACUG
rnacentral:lncRNA from 1 species